rnacentral:lncRNA from 1 species
UAAGGUAUUGUUUUGGCCACUUCAAUGCCCAAAAGAUGUUAUGCUUUGACUAAAAAUUUUCACCCACUUGCCUGAACCUAGUAUUCAGGCUCAAGGGACUUCAAUUUGAUCAUGGGCCUGGUUGUUUUCAGGCUGCACAUAAGGCUUCUCAGGCUGGGUCGGCCAAAUAGCUUGAACAGUUCGGCAAACAAGACGUGUCAGAUGCACCGAUUCUAUUGGUUGUUCUGAUAAAUUUUUUAUUUUAUUUGCUCAUGAUACUUAGUAUAUAGCUAAUAUAGGAUUAAACACACGGGCUUCAACUUAUUUUGGCAUUUAAGACUUUAAAAGGAAUAUUGAUGAAGCCGCUUUAGCUGAAUGAAAAUUUUUCAUCAUAUAGGACUUUGAAACAAGAAGGAAUAAGGCUGAAUGAGAAUUGGCAGUUUCCGGUGUUUUCCCGGUAAUUAUUGUUACAAACUUUUCAAUUAUUGCCUGGGCGUUACUCUAUUUGGAUAUUAGCUAAACCUGAAAAAAUCAAAUAGUUUACACAGAUAGCUGCGGAAGGGAAAGCUGAUCAAAAGGAUUUGAACUCAUCCAUCUUCAAGUCUUAUGGGUACUGACCAGAAGAAUCGAUUCCACUUGGUCAUUAGACAUAGUCUCUUGUGUAUUUUUUGGUUCAAAUUGGAUGCUAAGAAAUGUAACGAGUUAUUUUUAAGAUGAAGACAGAUAGAAGGAAGACCAUGUUCCUUAGCAUCAUGCUGGAAUGACCAGAGAAAGAGUAGAAGAAUCAUGUUGGAUUUAUUGCUUAAGGCUGAUAGUAGUGGAAUCCAAAAGGAGAAGAAUAAGCAUAUAUAUGAAGGAGCUGAAUGUAGUUUGGCGAAUGGUGGCUCCUGACAAAAUGGAAGUAAUGCUAUUUCGGUUCUUUUGUGCCAUGCUGCGGAGUCAUGACGUUGAGAUUUAUGAUACCAUGGGCUGCUGACUGUCGAGUUCCAUUGCCUUGGUACAAAUUUGUUAUCUUUUGCCAGGAUCUCAGGAUCUAUGGGCCUUAGUAGAGAGGAUCUAACCGGGGUUUGAUAUGUGCAGUAUCAUUUGUGGGGCUUAACCGCUUAAGGGCUUGGGAUCUAUUCACUUGACAGAUGGUUGGUGAUUGAACCUCUUGGGGAUUUCAUCAGGAAAAAAAAAAAAACUCUUGGGGAUUACUGAAUUUGAGUUUGGUCAUAAUUUCUGUUGGAUAAGGUUUUGGAUGGUGGAGGGAUGCUGUUUUCUGUUGCU